GACAUAUCGAGCUCCAUCAAAUAUGCAUAGGCCAAUCUUGCUGCACACUUUAUCUGGUCGAGUCUGCAACCAUUCAAACACAUUCAGAUCACAAUAAGAAAACAGUGACAACCUUAUAGGAGAAACUAUAAUUAUCCGUACAUCUAUUAUGAUAAAGGAGUAGAAAAACAAAGAACAAACCUGUGCAACCAACAACUCCAGUAUCAACUCUCCAUACUGUUUAACGACCUCUUUACAUUCCAUGCUCACAACUCCUUCUGCACCAAUGGCGUGAUUUAUUUGGGUGACUAUGGUCUGAAAUCAUUAAAAAGAUCAAAUAUAAAUUUUCACCUGUGUUAUUUACAAGAACAUCAAUACAAUUAAACAACUGCGGUAAUGAAUUGCAUAUUUUGGAUGAUUUUAUCACAACAGAUACUAGCUCUUCUUGCCUCAGUCUCAUUUUGUGAGAUGCAGAGUUGGAUAUUGUGGAACAGUAUCAGCAGUAUUCAACUAAUGGAAUCAUGUUUUUCGCUAGAGCAGAAGUUUUUAGAUAACACAUGGUGACAUCUGAGGCUAACUCACAAGAAUUCAUAAUUAAAAGAUAUGAAAAUUUAAGAAAAUUCAAAGUCAUAACUCUUUGUCGAGUAUGCUAGCAAAAACUCUCAAGCAUAGAGUAUUAUGUCACUAAAGCCAGAAGAGAAGCCCUUUUUUUGCAUGCAUGCACAUCGUCAGUUAUAGUGUUGAGCAUAUACAAUCCAGGUGACGGCAAGUAUGGAUUGCAGUCAUCUCCCAUCUUGUUAAUUUUUCCCUAAAAUUUGUAUAACUUGAUAAAAACACUCUCAUUAUAAGAGAAGCCAUUCUUUUGCUUCUCUUCUGCAAGAACUGUACUAACAAAGUGUAUGUAACAAAACUGGAAGUACUAUAGAGGUAUGAUAUAUGGUCACUUACAAUGAAAAAAGGACAUUAAAUGGUCUUGUUUGGCUGAGAGCACGUGCAAGCGAUAAUAAUAAAAGGAGAACCAUCUAAUAUAAGAGCCUGGUAAAAUACUCAGGAAACUGCACCAACAAGAUUUGAACCCAGAACCCCCAGAGGGGGGUUGCAACUGCCAGGCUCUAUCCCAUAGUUUCAAUAAUCAUAAAUUGUAUAUAUGCUGCAUAUCAGUGAAAAAUGUUAGGACCCCAGGAUGACUGGUGCAAUACCUUGAAACGCACUUCAGUUAAGAUUUUUUAUGUUAAAAAAAUACUAAAGCUAAUUGCAAUACUUGCAUGAGUCUCAAGGUGAACAUUGUAAACAACUCUGUCGAUGUUCAUACAUAUAGCUUUAGGGGAAAGGAUACCUACAAGCUUAGAACUGCUAGGUACCUUAUACAGAGAAAGACAAUGAGCCCCAGUUAUUAACAAAGCCACUGUUAUGCUUUUGCUGCAUCAGUAUAACAUUUGUUCAGCCUGCAUCAUUAUAUCUCCAUAGUAUGUGUCCUAAACUUUUUCUAAUCCCUGCAUAACUAAUGUAGUUCUAUCUUUAAUGAUAAUACAAAGCUCUCAAUCUCGCCAGCACUUGAAAACCCCAAAACAAGAAAUAAUCCCCAAAACUCUAGAAAAGGCAAAAAUAUACAUGUAUGGACCCUUCAGUGGGCCUCAGACCCAGGCCAAGUGCCCGAGCUUAGGACAGGCCCUUUUGGUAAUGUCUCCUCUAAAUACAAGACACACCAUAACACUGUUAAUGGAAAAAAGAUAUAGUGAGUUUGGUGUACUCAAACAUGAAGUAAACAGGAACCAAAAGGAAAUCAUAAUAAUCAUGAGAAAGAAAGAGAAACUAGCCAGAAAACUAUAAUUGGGUCUUCCAGAAAGAGACCACAAAUAGACAACUGGAAUGUGAAGGCUAAAAAUCAGGUGAAAUAGCAAACAAAGACAGCAUCUUUCCAAAGAAACUACUUAGUUGGCAUGAUUAUCCAUCAUAGCUUUGUCUUAAAGCAAGAGAAAAAAGAAAUGAGCUCUGCACAACAACCUAUAAAUAUACCUUCAAGACAAGAUACAGUGACUAUUGGUGAUAACAUGGAAAUAACCAGGGAAAUUAAAGAACUGCUGAGAUAUCUCAUAAAAGCAGGAAAAUGUAGCAUCUACAAGAGCCAACAAAAUCAUCUAUUUGAAAACACUUAAUUGUUUUAAGUGCUUGAAGGAACAUACAGUUGGCCCUGCAAGCAAGGAAGUUCCAGAAUCUACAAUAGCAGCACAGCCAUCAGCACAAUAGCCUGCAUGACAAAAAGUUUUCGAAGUCUUGUUCAGAAACAUCAUGUUGCAUGAUAUGACAGCAGUUCAUGUGUAGACAGACGGAAAGUAUUACCAGUUGAUUGGCCAUCAAUCAGGAAAUCUCCCAUGUCAAACUGAAAAAAGAAAGGGGGAUAAAAGAGGUCAUGAGUGAAAAUAUGUUAGUUGUCACAACUCGCAAGAAUAUAAAGGAAUCUAGGUUCAUUCUCUGCACAACUUCGUCUGUUUGGGACUACCUGCCAGUAUCCUUCACUAGUUACUGGAACAUAGGAAUGUUCGCCCUUAAAAUGUCUUGGAUCAACACCUCCAAAAAUAAGCUCGCCCCCAUUCACAUCGUCUGCAUCUCUAUUUAGCCAGAACGAGAAUACCUUCUUGUCAAUUAAAUCCUGCUCAACCAUGCUAUACCUGUGAUGAGUAAUAAAAGAAAGCCUAAGGUUUGGCAACAUCACAUAGAAUAUACCCUGUAACAUAUGGAUUCAAAGAAUGAUAAGGUAAAAUAUUUCAAGGAUAUUGUGAGGCCCAAUAGUCCCACAUCGGAAAGACUCGUUCCAGAGCCUGGGCAUAUGAGGCGGGUGUCUCCAAAUCCUGCAAACGCGUUUUGGGUGGAAAACAAAACCGGAGAGGGGUGAAGGACGCUUGCGUGAAGCCCCAGAACCGGACAAUAUCUGGCAGGGGAGCCCCGUGUUCCCCCCUCAUGUGGCCCCCACGUGGGCACUAGGUGCCUCACGUGCCUCGCAGAGGCGGGGGCGUGACAUUUGGUAUCAGAGCCGAGGACGGCUCUUGUCCGAUGGUGGGAAAGGUGUGAGGCCCAAUAGUCNNNNNNNNNNCUUCUGGAGUUAGGCUGAAAACUUUUUCGGCAAUUGUAAAUGAAAUAUUUGGCAUGCUUGCAAUCUGAUCACAGCUAACAGUUGAUUCUCCACUGGGGCUUGGCAGACGUUCACACAGCUCAUUAGCAUAGGCCAAAAUUCGUUCCUUAGUUUUAUUUUCUCUCAGUUGAUUUUCAAUCCAAACAACAGCCAUCUCACAAGCAGUACAUAAAACAUCUUGAUUAAGAGAUGAAUCUUCCUCCUUUUGCUUGUCAACCACGGAAUCAAUGCCAGUACCGACAUAUCGAGCUCCAUCAAAUAUGCAUAGGCCAAUCUUGCUGCACACUUUAUCUGGUCGAGUCUGUGCAACCAACAACUCCAGUAUCAACUCUCCAUACUGUUUAACGACCUCUUUACAUUCCAUGCUCACAACUCCUUCUGCACCAAUGGCGUGAUUUAUUUGGGUGACUAUGGUAGUUGGCCCUGCAAGCAAGGAAGUUCCAGAAUCUACAAUAGCAGCACAGCCAUCAGCACAAUAGCCAGUUGAUUGGCCAUCAAUCAGGAAAUCUCCCAUGUCAAACUGCCAGUAUCCUUCACUAGUUACUGGAACAUAGGAAUGUUCGCCCUUAAAAUGUCUUGGAUCAACACCUCCAAAAAUAAGCUCGCCCCCAUUCACAUCGUCUGCAUCUCUAUUUAGCCAGAACGAGAAUACCUUCUUGUCAAUUAAAUCCUGCUCAACC
rnacentral:lncRNA from 1 species